rnacentral:misc_RNA from 1 species
AAGUCGUAACAAGGUUUCCGUAGGUGAACCUGCGGAAGGAUCAUUAACACGUAUCCAAACGUUAAAACCCCCCCCGUGAACCUUCAUCCUGCUCUUGUAACCCGCGUAGUUCGCAAUCUCUGAUAAAUCAUAGCCCGGAAAGUUGUAGUGAUUCAGAGACCUCUGGCUACGUGCGAACAUUGGAACAGUUACAAUCGAGCGGUAGUUCUAUAGGCAAUGUUUCCCCAAGCAGUCAGUGUCGGAAAGCUCCAAAGGGUCCCCAUGCCCCCUAAUAACCCCACAGUUUAAUGUGAAACUCAAUGUAAUACAUUGGGUAAAAAAACCGAACAACUGUUAACAAUGGAUAUCUUGGUUCUC